CGAGUGAAGCGGCAACAGCUCAAAUUUGAAAUCUGGCGUCUUUGGCGUCCGAGUUGUAAUUUGCAGAGGGCGCUUUGGCAUUGGCAGCGGUCCAAGUUCCUUGGAACAGGACGUCACAGAGGGUGAGAAUCCCGUACGUGGUCGCUAGCCUUUACCGUGUAAAGCCCCUUCGACGAGUCGAGUUGUUUGGGAAUGCAGCUCUAAAUGGGAGGUAAAUUUCUUCUAAAGCUAAAUACUGGCCAGAGACCGAUAGCGCACAAGUAGAGUGAUCGAAAGAUGAAAAGCACUUUGGAAAGAGAGUUAAAAAGCACGUGAAAUUGUUGAAAGGGAAGCGCUUGCAGCCAGACUUGCCUGUAGUUGCUCAUCCGGGUUUCUACCCGGUGCACUCUUCUAUAGGCAGGCCAGCAUCAGUUUGGGCGGUUGGAUAAAGGUCUCUGUCAUGUACCUCCUUUCGGGGAGAACUUAUAGGGGAGACGACAUGCAACCAGCCUGGACUGAGGUCCGCGCAUCUGCUAGGAUGCUGGCGUAAUGGCUGUAAGCGGCCCGUCUUGAAACACGGACCAAGGAGUCUAACAUCUAUGCGAGUGUUUGGGUGUCAAGCCCGAGCGCGUAAUGAAAGUGAACGGAGGUGGGAACCUUUCGGGGUGCACCAUCGACCGAUCCUGAUGUCUUCGGAUGGAUUUGAGUAAGAGCAUAGCUGUUGGGACCCGAAAGAUGGUGAACUAUGCUUGAAUAGGGUGAAGCCAGAGGAAACUCUGGUGGAGGCUCGCAGCGGUUCUGACGUGCAAAUCGAUCGUCAAAUUUGGGCAUAGGGGCGAAAGACUAAUCGAACUAUCUAGUAGCUGGUUCCUGCCGAAGUUUCCCUCAGGAUAGCAGUAACGUUUUCAGUUUUAUGAGGUAAAGCGAAUGAUUAGAGGCAUGGGGGUUGAAACAACCUU
rnacentral:rRNA from 1 species